UGUAACUUUAGUAAUUAUUCUAUGUAGAAACAUGUCUUGGUUUGAAAACAUUGCAGUUUGAUACGGAAGUGGAAUGAAUCUGCAACACACUGGUAAGCAUUAAAUUUGUUGGCAAAAUAUUACGCGCUUUUCAAAAAUUUCUUUCACUUCAAACUUAAUACAAUACCAAUGGCAGAAAAAUGUAUAUAUACUGUUUUAAUUCACUCGCACUUUAUUUACUUCGCCGUUAUGAUCAGAAAAGUAACCAAAAACAGACAAGCCAAUCAAAUGCCACGGAAAUGAACGGUUGCUACUGGACGAUACGUGUUACUGCAACGGUGUAUACUUGCCGUGGAAUCCGUAUCACCCGAUUCUUCAGACUCCUAAAAUUGGAAUUUGUCAGCUCCGUUCUCUAGCUGUGCAAACCGGUGCUCGUUGUGCGAAGUGCAUUCAUUUGGUGCAGAAUGUGCGAAGUGGUUUCAUUUAAAAACACGUAUUUUUUACAAAAUUUUGAUUUAACAAAUAUAAAACAUUUUCCGUGUUGAUAUACAG
rnacentral:lncRNA from 1 species